GGUAUUCCUUAUCUAUCUAAUACGUUGAUUUAUCUGGAACCUGUCCCAUUGCAUUUUCACAGGAAAACGCAAUAAGACAGGUUCUGCGUUUAGUUGCCGCGCUCUAAAAACUG
rfam:Enterobacter cloacae SCF1, complete genome.